CAAUUGGUGGCUGACUAAAUACUUUUUUGCCCCACUGUAUAUGGGGCUUUGGUGACAAAACGGAUGGCACUGUGAUAGACUGCAUCCAAUUUGCUGAGUGUUGGAGGCUAUUUUUAAAAUGACAUCGCCGAAGUCAAGGAUUGGUAGGAUGGUUAGUUUUAUCAAGGGUAUGUUUGGCAGCAUGAAUGAAGGAUGCUUUGUUGCGAAAUAGGAAGCCGAUUCUAGAUUUAUUUUUGGAUUGGAGAUGCUUAAUGUGAGUCUGGAAGGAGAGUUACAGUCUAACCAGACACGACACCUCGGUAUUUGUAGUUGUCCACCUAUUCUAAGUCAGAACCGUCCAGAGUAGUAAUGCUGGAUGGGCGGGCAGGUGUGGGCAGCGAUCGGUUGAAGAGCAUGCAUUUAGUUUUACUUGCAUUUAAGAGUAGUUGGAGGCCACGGAAGGAGAGUUGUAUGGCAUUGAAGCUUGUCUGGAGGUUAGUUAACACAUUGUCCAAAGAAGGGCCAGAAGUAUACAGAAUGGUGUCGUCUGCAUAGAGGUGGAUCAGAGAAUCACCAGCAGCAAGAGCAACAUCAUUGAUGUAUACAGAGAAAGAGUCGGCCCGAGAAUUUAACUCUGUGGCACCCCCAUAGAGACUGCCAGAGGUUCGGACAACAGGCCCUCCAAUUUGACACACUGAACUCUGUCUGAGAAGUAGUUGGUGAACCAGGCGAGGCAGUCAUUUGAGAAACCAAGGCUGUUGAGUCUGCCGAUAAGAAUGUGGUGAUUGACAGAGUCGAAAGCCUUGGCCAGGUUGAUGAAUACGGCUGCACAGUAUUGUCUUUUAUCGAUGGCGGGUAUGAUUGUCACGGUUCAUGAAUCCACUGCCUCACUCUCUCUUUUCUCUCUCGCUCUCUCUCUCUCUCUCUCCUGUGUUUGUGUGGGCGUGGUUCCCAAUCUUGGCCUGAUUGUCUGCGCCAGCUGGAAUUAAUUAUCUUCCCCUUUAUAUGUUCUGUAACCUGUGUUUCUUGUUGUCAGAUCGUUGUUUCUUCCCUGAGGUUGUGUCGUGUGUCAGUGCUCAUUCUCUCUCAGCCCUUGUGGGGAUUAUCUGCUGUGCUCCUUCCUACCCAGCCGGACUCACUCCCUUGGAUUUCUCAGCACGCUAUCAUCAGAGGAUGUGCCCUAGGCCCUGGGUUGGAUUCUGUCUGAGUAUAUUCUGUCUGUCCUGUGGAUACUGUAAACUAUUUUCAUUAAACCAUCGUUGCUUGCAUCUUGCAUCCGCCUCUGUAUUGUGACAAUGAUAUCCUUUAGGACCUUGAGCGUGGCUGAGGUGCACCCAUGACCAGCUUGGAAACCAGAUUGCAUAGCGGAGAAGGUGGGAUUCGAAAUGGUCGGUGAUCUGUUUGUUAACUUGGCUUUCGAAGACCUUAGAAAGGCAGUGUAGGAUAGAUAUAGGUCUGUAACAGUUUGGGUCUAGAGUGUCUCCCCCUUUGAAGAGGGGGAUGACCGCGGCAGCUUUCCAAUCUUUGGGGAUCUCAGACGAUACAAAAGAGAGGUUGAACAGGCUAGUAAUAGGGGUUGCAACAAUUAUGGGAGAUCAUUUUAGAAAGAGAGUGUCCAGAUUGUCUAGCCCAGCUGAUUUGUAGGGGUCCAGAUUUUGCAACUCUUUCAGAACAUCAGCUAUCUGGAUUUGGUUGAAGGAGAAAUGGGGGAGGUUUGGGCAAGUUGCUGUGGGGGGUGCAGGGCUAUUGACCGGGGUAGGGAUAGGGGUAGCCAGGUGGAAGGCAUGGCCAGCCGUAGAAAAAUGCUUAUUGAAAUUCUCAACUAUCGUGGAUUUAUCGGUGGUGACAGUGUUUCCUAGCCUCAGUGCAGUGGGCAGCUGGGAGGAGGUGCUCUUAUUCUCCAUGGAGUUUACAGUGUCCCAGAAAUGUUGGAGUUUGUGCUACAGGAUGCAAAUUUCUGUUUGAAAAAGCUAGCCUUUGCUUUCCUAACUGCCUGUGUAUAUUGGUUCCUAACUUCCCUGAAAAGUUGCAUAUCGCGGGGGCUAUUCGAUGCUAAUGCAGAACGCCACAGGAUGUUUUUGUGCUGGUCAAGGGCAGUCAGGUCUGGAGUGAAACAAGGGCUAUAUCUGUUCCUGGUUCUACAUUUUUUGAGUGGGGCAUGCUUAUUUAAGAUGGUGAGGAAAGCACUUUUAAAGAAUAACCAGGCAUCCUCAACUGACGGAAUGAGGUCAAUAUCCUUCCAGGAUACCCGGGCCAGGUCGAUUAGAAAGGCCUGCUCGCUGAAGUGUUUUAGGGAGCGUUUGACAGUGAUGAGGGGUGGUUGUUUGACCGCGGACCCAUUACGUACGCAGGCAAUGAGGCAGUGAUCGCUGAGAUCCUGGUUGAUGACAGCAGAGGUGUAUUAAGAGGGCAGGUUGGUCAGGAUGAUAUCUAUGAGCGUAUGAGGAUACCCCUCUAUGGAAAGAUGAGUCUCUCAAAAACACAUACGUGUUGGUUGUUUUGCUCUAGGACACCUGCAAGCCUCACAAGAUUCUCCUGAUGGCAACCCUGGUCCCAGUAAAAAAUAAAAUAAUGGAAGUAUGCACUCGGAAAGUGUUCAGACCCCUUCCCUUUUUCCACAUUUUGUUACGUUACAGCCUUAUUCUAAAAUUGAUUACUCCAUUUUUGUUCCUCAUUAAUCUACUCACAAUACCUCACUAUGACAAACCAAAAACAGGUUUUUAGAAAUGUUAGCAAAUGUAUUAUAACUAUAAACAGAAAUACCUAAUUUACAUAAGUAGUCAUACCCUUUGCUAUGAGACUCGAAAUUGAGUUCAGGUGGAUCCUGUUUCCAUUGAUCAUCCUUGAGAUGUUUCUACAACUUGAUUGGAGUCCACCUGUGGUUAAUUCAAUUGAUUGGACAUGAUUUGGAAAGGCACACACCUACGUACAUAAGGUCCCACAGUUAACAGUGCAUGUCAGAGCAAAAUACGAAGCUAUGAGUUCAAAGGAAUUGUCCGUAGAGCUCCGCGAUAGGAUUGUGUCGAGGCACAGAUCUGAGGAAGGGUACCAAAACAUGUAUGCAGCAGUGAAGGUCCCCAAGAACACCGUGGCCUCAAUUAUUCUUAAAUGGAAGAAGUUUGGAACCACCGAGACUCUUCCUAAAGCUGGCCACCCGGCCAAACUGAGCAAUCGGGCGAGACGGGCCUUGGUCAGGGAGGUGACCAAGAACCCAAUGGUCACUCUGGCAGAGCUCCAGAGUUCCUCUGUGAAGAUGAGAGAAUCAAGUCAAAUCAAAUCAAAGAUUAUUUGUCACGUGCGCCGAAUACAACAGGUGUAGACCUUACAGUGAAAUGCUUACUUACAGGCUCUAACCAAUAGGGCAAAAAAGGUAUUAGGCAAACAAUAGGUAAGUAAAGAAAUAAAAACAACAGUAAAAAGACAGUGAAAAACAGUAGCGAGGCUAUAUACAGUAGCGAGGCUAUAAAAGUAGCGAGGCUACAUACAGACACCGGUUAGUCAGGCUGAUUGAGGUAGUAUGUACAUGUAGAUAUGGUUUAAGUGACUAUGCAUAUAUGAACCUUCCAGAAGGACAACCAUCUCUGCAGCACUCCACGAAUCAGGCCUUUAUGGUAGAGUGGCCAGACGGAGGCCACUCCUCAGUAAAAUGCACAUGACAGCCCGUUUGGAGUUUGCCAAAAGGCACCUAAAGGGCUCUCAGACCAUGAGAAACAAGAUUCUCUGGUCUGAUGAAACCAAGAUUGGAACGUCAUUUCACGACUUGUAGAUGUGUACAUGCUGCUGUGCGGUUUGUUGUUAACCUUACUUUGCUACCUGCCAACUUUACGGUUUUUACUUUUUAAUUACGGUUUAUAUUUUUGGUUUUUCUCUCGCUCAACAUUUUUCAUUCAACUUUUUCACCCCGGAUGUUUUAUCUGGACAUGGUUCGUCAGGACCUCCAUCAGCCGAAGGUAAGGAGUAACAUUAACAUGAUGCCUUUUAAUUGCAGUAGCUGUUUUCAUAAUAUACAGGAGAAUGAUCACCUUAUGGCGAGGAUAGCUGUGCUGCAAGCCCAGCUUCAGACGCAAUCGUUAGGCAAGGGUAAUUUCAGUGUAGGAAAGGAUGAAACAGUGUCUGUGCCACCAGUAAGUACAGAUAGUAGUUUAAAUCCCCUCGCACAGUCCCCGCAGCCGGACAACUUUCUCAUGGCUUCUGGAGGGAAAUGCUGUAGGAAUGCUCAACCGGUGUCGCUCAUUCAGCCGACAGACACUUUCAACCGGUUCUCCCCAUUAAGCAACGGGUCAGAGUCAGAGGCCGAGCCUUCUCUGGUCUCUACUCCUCCCGUUACGGGGUCUGAGACACCGAAGCCUCCCACCAUUAGCUCUGACAAAUUGAAAACCCUAGUCAUUGGCGACUCCAUUACCCUCAGUAUUAGACUUAAAACGAAUCAUCCAGCGAUCAUACACUGUUUACCAGGGGUCAGGGCUACCGACGUCAAGGCUACUCUGAAGAUGGUGUUGGCUAAAGCCAAAACUGGUGAGUAUAGAGAGUAUAAGGAUAUUGUUAUCCACAUCGGCACCAACAAUGUCAGGAUGAAACAGUCUGAGGUCACCAAGCGCAACAUAGCUUCAGCGUGUAAAUCAGCUAGAAAGAUGUGUCGGCAUCGAGUAAUUGUCUCUGGCCCCCUCCCAGUUAGGGGGAGUGAUAAGCUCUACAGCAGUCUCACAACUCAAUCGCUGGUUGAAAACUGUUUUCUGCCACUCCCAAAAGAUAGAAUUUGUAGAUAAUUGGCCCUCUUUCUGGGACUCACCCACAAACAGGACCAAGCCUGGCCUGUUGAGGAGUGACGGACUCCAUCCUAGCUGGAGGGGUGCUCUCAUCUUAUCUACAAACAUAGACAGGCUUUUUACUCCCCUAGCUCCAAAAUGAGAUAGGGUGCAGGCCAGGCAGCAGGCUGUUAGCCAGCCUGCCAGCUUAGUGGAGCCUGCCACUUGCACAGUCAGUGUAGUCAGCUCAGCUAUCCCCAUUGAGACCGUGUCUGUGCCUCGAUCUAGGUUGGGCAAAACUAAACAUGGCGGUGUUCGCUCUAGCAAUCUCACUGGAAUAAAGACCUCCUCCAUUCCUGCCAUCAUUGAAAGAGAUUGUGAUAUCUCACAUCUUAAAAUAGGGCUUCUUAAUGUUAGAUCCCUCACUUCCAAGGCAGUUACAGUCAAUGAACUAAUCACUGAUCAUAAUCUUGAUGUGAUUGGCCUGACUCACCUCCUGGUUACACUUGUGACCAUAUCCCCCACGCAUCCCGCAAAGGCAGAGGUGUUGCUAACAUUUACAAUAGCAAAUUUCAAUUUACAAAAUAAAAACCAACGUUUUCGUCUUUUGAACUUCUAGUCAUGAAAUCUAUGCAGCCUACUCAAUCCCUUUUAUAGCUACUGUUUACAGGCCUACUGGGCAAUAUACAGCGUUCCUCACUGAGUUCCCUGAAUUCCUAUCGGACCUUGUAGUCAUGGCAGAUAAUAUUCAUAUUUUUGGUGACUUUAAUAUUCACAUGGAAAAGUCCACAGACCCACUCCAAAAGGCUUUUGGAGCCAUCAUCGACUCAGUGGGUUUUGUCCAACAUGUCUCCAGAACUCAUGGAAUAAAUGUUGUGGAUCUUAAUAUUUUUCCUCAUAAUCCUGGACUAUCGGACCACCAUUUUAUUACGUUUGCAAUCGCAACAAAUAAUCUGCUCAGACCCCAACCAACGAUCAUCAAAAGCCGUGCUAUAAAUUCUCGGACAACCCAAGAUUCCUAGAUGCCCUUCCAGAUUCCCUCCACCUACCCAAGGAUGUCAGAGUGCAAAAAUCAGUUAACCGCCUAACUGAGGAACUCAAUUUAACCUUGCGCAAUACCCUAGAUGCAGUCGCACACUUAAAACAUUUGUCAUAAGAAACUAGCUCCCUGGUAUACAGAAAAUACCCGAGUUCUGAAGCAAGCUUCCAGAAAAUUGGAACAGAAAUGGCGCUACACCAAACUGGAAGUCUUCCGACUAGCUUGGAAAGACAGUACCGUGUAGUAUCGAAGAGCUCGAUCAUCCUAUUUUUCCAACUUAAUUGAGGAAAAUAAGAACAAUCCAACAUUUAUUUUUGAUACUGUCGCAAAGCUAACUAAAAAGCAGCAUUCCCCAAGAGAGGAUGGCUUUCACUUCAGCAGGGAUAAAUUCAUGAACUUCUUUGAGGAAAAGAUCAUGAUCAUUAGAAAGCAAAUUACGGACUCCUCUUUAAAUCUGCGCAUUCCUACAAAGCUCAGUUGUCCUGAGUCUGCACAACUCUGCCAGGACCUAGGAUCAAGGGAGACGCUCAAGUUUUUUAAUACUAUAUCUCUUGACACAUUGAUAAAAAAUAAUCAUGGCCUCUUAACCUUCAAGCUGCAUACUGGUUCCCAUUCCAACUAAACUACUGAAAGAGCUGCUUCCUGUGCUUGGCCCUCCUAUGUUGAACAUAAUAAACGUCUCUUAAUCAACCGGAUGUGUACCAAACUCACUAAAAGUUCUGGCCUGGUUUAGAUCUUAUCUGUUGGAAAGAUAGCAGUUUGUCUCUGUGGAUGGUUUGUCCUCUGACAAAUCAGCUGUAAAUUUCAGUGUUCCUCAAGGCUCCGUUUUAGGACCACUAUUGUUUUCACUAUAUAUUUUACCUCUGGGUCAUUCGGAAACAUAAUGUUAACUUUCACUGCUAUGCGGACGGCACAAAGCUGUACAUUUCGAUGAAAUAUGGUGAAGCCCCAAAAUUGCCCUCCCUGGAAGCCUGUGAUUCAGACAUAAGGAAGUGGAAGGCGGCAAAUGUUCUACUUUGAAACUCGAACAAAACAGAGAUGCUUGUUCUAGGUCCCAAGAAACAAAAAGAUCUUCUGUUGAAUCUGACAAUUAAUCUUGAUGGUUGUACAGUUGUCUCAAAUAAAACUUUUAAGGACCUCGGCGUUCCUCUGGACCCUGAUCUCUCUUUUGACAAACAUAUCAAGACUGUUUCAAGGAUAGCUUUUUUCCAUCUACGUAACGUUGCAAAAAUCAGAAACUUUCUGUCCAAAAAUGAUGCAGAAAAAUUAAUCCAUGCUUUUGUCACUUCUAGAUUAGACUACUGUAAUGCUCUACUUUCCGGCUACCUGGAUAAAGCAAUAAAUAAACUUCAGUUAGUGCUAAACACGGCUGCUAGAAUCUUGACUAGAACCAAAAAAUGAGAUCAUAUUACUCCAGUGCUAGCCUCUCUACACUGGCUUCCUGUUAAGGCUAGGGCUGAUUUCAAGGUUUUACUGCUAACCUACCAAAGCGUUACAUGGGCUUGCUCCUACCUAUCUUUCCAAUUUGUUCCUGCCGUACAUACCUACACGUACGCUACGGUCACAAGACGCAGGCCUCCUUAUUGUCCCUAGAAUUUCUAAGCAAACAGCUGGAGGCAGGGCUUUCUCCUAUAAAGCUCAAUUUUUAUGGAAUGGUCUGCCUAUCCAUGUGAGACAAAAUAGAGAUGCUAGUUCUAGGUCCCAAGAAACAAAGAGAUCUUCUGUUUAAUCUGACAAUUAAUUUAAGUCUUUAUUGAAGACUCAUCUCUUCAGUAGGUCCUAUGAUUGAGUGUAGUUUGGCCCAGGAGUGUGAAGGUGAACGGAAAGGCACUGGCGCAUCGAACCGCACUUGCUGUCUCUGCCUGGCCGGUUCCCCUCUCUCCACUGGGAUUCUCUGCCUCAAACCCUAUUACCGUGGCUGAGUCACUGGCUUACUGGUGCUCUUCCAUGCCAUUCCUAGGAGGGGUGCGUGACUUGAGUGCGUUGAGUCACUGACGUGAUCUUCCUGUCCGGUUGUGCCGUGGGGGAGAUCUUUGUGGGCUAUACUCGGCCUUGUCUCAGGAUGGACCUGAGCCCUAGGACCAUGCCUCAGGACACCCUGGCCUGAUGUCUCCUUGCUGUCCCCAGUCCACUUGGUCAUGCUGCUGCUCCAGUUUCAACUGUUCUGCCUGCGGCUAUGGAACCCUGACCUGUUCACCGGACGUGCUACCUGUCCCAGACCUGCUGUUUUCAACUCUCUAGAGACAGCAGGAGCGGUAGAGAUACUCUGAAUGAUCGGCUAUGAAAAGCCAACUGACAUUUACUCCUGAGGUGUUGACCUGUUGCACCCUCUACAACCACUGUGAUUAUUAUUAUUUGACCCUGCUGGUCAUCUAUGAACAUUUGAACAUCUUGGCCAUGUUCUGUUAUAAUCUCCAACCGGCACAGCCAGAAGAGGACUGGCCACCCCUCAUAGUAUGGUUCCUCUCUAGGUUUCUUCCUAGGUUCUGGCCUUUCUAGGGAGUUUUUCCUAGCCACCGUGCUUCUACACCUACAUUGCUUGCUGUUUGGGGUUUUAGACUGGGUUUCUGUACAACACUUUGUGACAUCAGCUGAUGUAAGAAGGGCUUUAUAAAUACAUUUGAUUGAUUGAUUGAUUGAAAUCUUUGGCCUGAAUUCCAAGCGUCAAGUCUGGAGGAAACCUGGCACUAUCUCUACGGUGAAGCAUGGUGGUAACAGCAUCAUGCUGUGGGGAUGUUUUUAAGUGGCAGGGAUUAGGAAACAAGUCAGGGUCGAGGGAAAGAUGAAAGGAGCAAAGAGAUCCUUGAUGGAAACCUGCUCCAGAGCACUCAGGAUCUCAGACAGGGACUAUUUGUUUUCAAUGUUUGAAUCUGUUAUUCAAUUUGUCUCUAUGGGAUAAUAGCAGUAACGCCAAAUUCAAUGUUUCAUCAAAUAAUUGUUUUUAAUAAUUUUUUGCAGAUACCUAAAGGGGUCCUAAAAUUAAAAAUCAAAUAGCUAAAUUAUCCUUGGUAUGACCAUCAGCCGUUCUGGAUGGAGCAGACAGCAGACGGAUAAGGAGGCAGCUUUUAUGCACCCUAUAUAAAGGGUGACCCAGGAGCCACGGCCUUCUGUAAGUGUGCCAACUUGCACGCUUCAAGGCAGCAACACAGUGAACACAGCUUGCCUCUGACUGCCAGCUGCAUCGUCUGUGUGUGUGCCUCCUGCACAAAAGCUGCAUGCCCUUUGAAAUGUGCUCAAAUACACAAAUGUAGGUCUAUGAAUGCACACACACACUUACACACGCACCGAUGUGCAACGCAAAACAUGCAUGGUUGCGCAGUUAAAUUUCAAAGUAAAGAAUGGGAUUUUAUAUGUAAUGUACACUGAGUGUACAAAACAUUAGGACCACCUUCCUAAUAUUGAGUUGCACCCCCUUUUUCCCUCAGAACAGCCUCAAUUCCUCAGGCAUUGACUCUACAAGGUGUCGAAAGCGAUCCACAGGGAUGCUGGCCCAUGUUGACUCCAAUGCUUCCCAUAGUUGUGUCAAGUUGGCUGGCUGUCUUUUGGGUGGUGGACCAUUCUUGAUACAAAGGGGAAACUGUUGAGAUUGAAAAACCCAUCAGCGUUGCAGUUCUUGACACAAAUCGGUGUGCCUGGCACCUACUACCAUACCUCGUUCAAAGGCACUUACAUCUUUUGUCUUGCCCAUUCACUCUCUGAAUGGCACACAUACAUAAUCCUUGUCUCAAUUGUCUCAAGGCUUAAAAAUCCUUAUUUAACCUGCCUCCGCCGCUUCACCUACACUGAUUUGAUGUGUAUUCAACAGGUGACAUCAAUUAGGGAUCAUAGCUUUCACCUGGAGUCAACUGGCCAGUCUGUCAUGGAAAGAGCAGGUAUUCCUAAUGUUUUGUUUACUCACUGUAUAAUUCUACAGUAUAAAGGUACACAAAGAAACCAUAUAUUAUGACUACACAUCAUACAAUUAUAUGACUUUUAAUGCAAUGUUGAUUAAUGAAUGUAACUAUAAAUAUAUUUUAUGGCUAAAUCUGCCCCCGCAGGGUAAUUGGUCUUUGUUUUGUGGUAGCCUGUAGUCUAUCUGUUGGAAUAGAAGAGAGUGUGUAGCAAAAGAGCAACUCCACCACACCAGUGCAUUAGGAUCCUAGUCUCCUAGCACCGUGAUUAUUGUCUGCCUCAGCGUUGUUCGUGGACAAGGGCCUCAUAACAGGUGACAGAAUGCCUGCCAGCCGCUCCCACCUCCCCACCCCCACCCCAGAAUGGCGACUAUUAUAAACCAAAAACGUAUGCUCUCAAUAUAUAUGCAAAUGACGACCGGUCCCAAGGUGAAGUUCGCAAAGGCAGCAAUGCUGCUCUGCUCGCCUCUGUUUUGCUCAUUUGCAAAAAUGUUGAGAGUAACAAAGACCACAGGAAAUUGAAAAAUUGUUGCUAAGUAGUAGAAAAAGCAAUCAUUUUCCACGGGCAGCCUAAUCCGGGGGAAAUUGAUCCUCACCUCUCUGACAAGCAGCAUUGGUGGGAAGGGAAACACAUAAGAGGAGAAAAAAGACGCCUGCUUCAAUGUUGCCUGAUGGAAAAUUUGCUUGGUUGCAGAUUCCUUCAUUUUAUUCAUGAAAGGGCUUGGUUUUUGGCAAACAAGGGCUCCAUGUCUUGGUUUGUCCCCUAAAAGCAAACAGGUGUUGCUCACACAGACAAAUGAGCAACUGAAAUGAGAAAGUAUUUUUGGACUUGCUACACAAUUAACAUCUUUGGUCUGUGUUUAGUCUAUUGGGCCAUUCCACUUCAUCCAUGCUGCAUGCAAAUAUUCUAAUUUGUUGUCUAAUUUCAAACAGACUGAUAGCAUCACACUAAUGCAGUUGCUCCUAUUUUUGGGUCGGGGUACAAAUUGCAAGAGACAGGCUAUUAUCAAGUGGUAUGACCUUGUCCAUGGAACAUAUUAUGAAAAAAACCUGCAAUGCCUUUUUGGGGAUGGGGGAUGGAGGAGGGUUAGAGGGGGGACUGUUGAUGAUUAAUUAACCCAAUUAACUUAGAAUAAGAUUACUGGAACAAUCAUUUAGAGAUAACUUAGAGCAACGUGCUGUGAUGACAAUUAUAAUUCAUAUUUAAUUAUCACUAUAGAAAGGGAAACGGUUGAUAUGAAUACAUAGGAAAUCUUUUGGAGAGUGGCUUUUACAUUUAAAACAAGAUCUUUACAUUUUUAAUGGCACUAGGGUGCUUCUACGUCAUUCCUUUGGAAGGUACUGGGUUGUAGGUUUGCCUUUUGAGGAAAUGUUUAUGAAUAAUAAAGUAUUUUUUUGGUGUGGA